rnacentral:rRNA from 1 species
CCUACGGGAGGCAGCAGUAAGGAAUAUUGGUCAAUGGGCGAAAGCCUGAACCAGCCAUGCCGCGUGAAGGAUGAAGGCGUUACGCGUUGUAAACUUCUUUUGUAUAGGAAGAAUGGUCGAGAUUCAUCUCGAAAGCGACGGUACUAUACGAAUAAGCACCGGCUAACUCCGUGCCAGCAGCCGCGGUAAUACGGAGGGUGCGAGCGUUGUCCGGAUUUAUUGGGUUUAAAGGGUGCGUAGGUGGCCUUUUAAGUCAGUGGUGAAAUGCGGUCGCUCAACGAUCGAACUGCCAUUGAUACUGUGAGGCUUGAGAGAGAUGGAGGCCGCCGGAACGGAUGGUGUAGCGGUGAAAUGCAUAGAUAUCAUCCAGAACACCGAUUGCGAAGGCAGGUGGCUACGUCUGAUCUGACACUGAGGCACGAAAGCAUGGGGAGCAAACAGGAUUAGAUACCCUGGUAGUCCAUGCUGUAAACGAUGAGGACUCGCUGUUGGCCUUUUGGGGUCAGUGGCUUAGGGAAACCGUUAAGUCCUCCACCUGGGGAGUACGCCGGCAACGGUGAAACUCAAAUGAAUUGACGG